rnacentral:ncRNA from 1 species
UAUGCUUGUCUCAAAGAUUAAGCCAUGCAUGUCUCAGUACGAGCCGUAUUAAGGUGAACCCACGAAAGGCUCAUUAAAUCAGUUAUAGUUUCUUAGUUCGUACUCACAUUUACUUGGGUAACUGUGGUAAUUCUAGAGCUAAUACAUGCAAACAGAGCUCCGACCGGAGACGGAAGGACCCCUUUUAUUAGUCAUGGACCUCAAUAAAAAAAAUGAAAAGAUAAAUCAAUAAUGAAAAAUAUUUCUAGAAUAUAUUGUCGAACGUUUGUCUAUAUUGACGUGGAAAAUCGAUGGAAAUAUUUGCAACAUUUACUAAAUUUAAUUCAUUUGCGAGUCUUCGACUAAAAGAUAAUAUUCGCAUAGUUUCAUAACCGUUGAUGCUAUUCGAUCUCUCAAGAAAAACUGUUUGGGACAAAAUUCAAUUAUUUCCACUGAUCAACCUAACGUUAGUCAACACAACCUCUUCAACCAGAACAAACUACAUUUUACUUGCCAAACUUGGGUACUAAACCAUGGUAUCAUGAUUUAGUACCAAAAUUGUGCUACAAGUUUGAGGUGAUUUUUCUUACUCAAUGGUUUCCUCUAAUACCUUCGUUAAUUGCGGUUUGCGGGUUAUUUAAAGAAUGGUUUUUUUUGAAAUCGUCAAAAUUUAAAAAGUGCUAUUUUUCGAAAAUCAAGGUUUAACCGAGGCCCCGUAAUCGGAAUGAGUACACUCUAAACCCUUUAACGAGGAUUAAUUGGAGGGCAAGUCUGGUGCUAGCGGCCGCGGUAAUUCCAGCUCCAAUAGCGUA